GUGUCGGUGGUCUAGCGGUUAGAACGCUGGCCUUGUAAGCCUGGGGGCCCAGGUUCAAUUCCCGGUGGCGCU
rnacentral:tRNA from 1 species